CUCUGCAGGCUCUUGACUGUUUGAUGCAAUGACGGAAGUUUUGUUGCACUCCCCUACAAAGCAGUGAGCAAAGAUCAGCAGAGCCAGUGGCAGGAAAGGCAGCCUAAUUCUGCAGGAAAUGGACAGAGCAAGCAGGGUUGCUCAAAUAAGCCGCUAAACCAGGAAGGAACAGCAACAGAUGAUCUGAGGGCUUCAGAGCGCUGGUCCCAGUAAAGAAGCUGCAGUGGACUCAGAGUACGACUGGGGAAGCAGCAGAGAGAGAGAGCUUUCAACUCUUGGCCUCCUCCCUACCCCACAAGGCAGUUCCCCAAACU